AGCAGUCGCCACGGUAAUACGGAGGGUGCAAGCGUUAAUCGGAAUUACUGGGCGUAAAGCGCACGCAGGCGGUCUGUCAAGUCAGAUGUGAAAUCCCCGGGCUUAACCUGGGAACUGCAUUUGAAACUGGCAGGCUAGAGUCUUGUAGAGGGGGGUAGAAUUCCAGGUGUAGCGGUGAAAUGCGUAGAGAUCUGGAGGAAUACCGGUGGCGAAGGCGGCCCCCUGGACAAAGACUGACGCUCAGGUGCGAAAGCGUGGGGAGCAAACAGGAUUAGAUACCCGCGUAGUCCCUGUCUCUUAUAC
rnacentral:rRNA from 1 species